rnacentral:lncRNA from 1 species
UUGUUUCAAAUGUAAGGAAAAGAUGCUUCCAUAUGGAAUAGAACCAUUUAGGAGCCACAAUCAAUCACUGAAGAUAAUCAAAUGUCCCUGAGCUUCAUGACCUGGGCUAACUGAGUUAGAGCCCGAAGAAAACAAAAAAGUCCCACAAAGAUGUAGGAUCUCACUUUGCCUGCAUUAAUUCCCUGUCCUUUGCCCAGUUUCUCCUCUCUUGGAAGGCAGAGGCAGCUUCUGAUUUUGAUCACUUCGUGUCCAGAAUUCCAGAACUCUCUGACCGUAUAAUAAGUCCUGCUGACCUCCAGCCUCCUGGACAGAGUCUUUUGACCAUCCAUAAAAAACUUGUGAAAGACUUGCUGGUAAUGAAUGCUAUCUUAAAUGCUUUACAAACAUUAUUGAAUUUAAUCUUCACAAUUAACCUUUUGAGGACUAUUUGGUGAAUGAAGUGAGUUUUGAACUCAGGCUGACUUAGAUUGUACAAGCCCACAUUUCUACUCCUGCCUCAACCUCCCAAGUAUCUUUGACUACAGGUGUGCGUGUCACCAUGGCCCAGCUAAUUUUUGUAUUGCCCAGGAUGGUCUUGAACUCCUGGGCUCAAGCAUCCUCC